ACUUGUUUAGUUACUGUGUGGUAAGAACUUUAAGGUGUGUCCUUAAUGGCAGUUGACGAUUCUUGCUGCGAAGCCUUGUUUAUUUUAGGUAGAUGUUUUAUACAGAAUUUCCAGUGGGACAAAUUACUCCACUGCCUGCACUCACCCUUUCUGAAGGCUGGCUGUGAGCAGAAGAGAAUAAUUCUACCGUGCUGCAAUCAGGUGGGGAGUGUAGCAGGGUGGCAGUUGCUGUGUUCUUGGGCCGGAGCAAGGAUGUAACUGAUGGAUCUCAGCAGUUCAGUGCAUGGGACUGGGGGCACUUCCUUCCCAGUAGUGCCUGUGACCUUUGUGGGGUAUGAUUCUUAUCUACUACUAUAUUUCCCUGUGUAGGCAAAAGUAAAUAUGUUAAACUCUUUAAGCUCCUUUCUAGAAUUUUGCUUAGGUAUUCCUUAGAGGCAUUUAGGAACCUUUCAAAGUAGCUGUUCAUUUUAGUUUGCAAAUAAAUUAUUUUCAGGCAUAUAGCCACCAUUUAGGCACAUGAGCUGUGCUACAGCAUGUUAUCCUGUUGUGUAAAAAUACCUCUUAAAACUACAGUAGAAAUGGAACAAAACAGCAAGCUGAAACAUGAAGUAAAACAUGCUAAGCAGUACCCUUUGAUAUGUUUUUCCUUAUGCUUUAUGAAAAAGGAGAGCUUUUUGAACACUUCAGCUUCAAACUUUUGUUAUAGCUUCUCCACCUGCCUAUUUAGUGGUGAGUGAAAGCCAGAAAGCCAAAACUGACUGAAAGGAUAGGGCAAGAGCAAAGGCUGCAGCAGAAGCAAUUCAGAAGUAUCAC
ensembl:lncRNA